UACAUUUCCAAAAAUGUUUUC
rnacentral:piRNA from 1 species